UACGUAGGGGGCAAGCGUUGUCCGGAUUUAUUGGGCGUAAAGAGCGUGUAGGCGGCCAGAUAGGUCUGUUGUGAAAACUCGAGGCUCAACCUCGAGACGCCGAUGGAAACCAUUUGGCUAGAGUCCGGAAGAGGAGAGUGGAAUUCCUGGUGUAGCGGUGAAAUGCGUAGAUAUCAGGAGGAACACCGGUGGUGUAGACGGCUCACUGGACCAUAACUGACGCUGAGACACGAAAGCGUGGGUAGCAAACAGG
rnacentral:rRNA from 1 species